UACGGGGGGUGCAAGCGUUAUCCGGAUUCACUGGGUUUAAAGGGUGCGUAGGAGGGCAGGUAAGUCAGUGGUGAAAUCUUCGAGCUUAACUCGGAAACUGCCGUUGAUACUAUCUGUCUUGAAUACCGUGGAGAUGAGCGGAAUAUGUCAUGUAGCGGUGAAAUGCUUAGAUAUGACAUAGAACACCAAUUGCGAAGGCAGCUCGUUACACGAAUAUUGACUCUGAGGCACGAAAGCGUGGGGAUCAAACAGG
rnacentral:rRNA from 1 species